rnacentral:rRNA from 1 species
UACGAAGGGGGCUAGCGUUGUUCGGAGUUACUGGGCGUAAAGGGCGCGUAGGCGGCUGGUCAAGUCGGGUGUGAAAGCCCGGGGCUCAACCCCGGAAAUGCACUCGAGACUGAUCGGCUUGAGGACGGGAGAGGAUAGUGGAAUUCCCGGUGUAGAGGUGAAAUUCGUAGAUAUCGGGAGGAACACCGGUGGCGAAGGCGGCGAUCUGGGUCGAUACUGACGCUGAGGUGCGAAAGCGUGGGGAGCAAACAGG